UGGGGAAUAUUGGACAAUGGGCGCAAGCCUGAUCCAGCCAUGCCGCGUGUGUGAAGAAGGCCUUUUGGUUGUAAAGCACUUUAUGCGAGGAGGAGGCUACUUGGAUUAAUACUCUAGGAUAGUGGACGUUACUCGCAGAAUAAGCACCGGCUAACUCUGUGCCAGCAGCCGCGGUAAUACAGAGUGUGCGAGCGUUAAUCGGAUUUACUGGGCGUAAAGCGUGCGUAGGCGGCUUCUUAAGUCGGAUGUGAAAUCCCUGAGCUUAACUUAGGAAUUGCAUUGGAUACUGGGAAGCUAGAGUAUGGGAGAGGAUGGUAGAAUUCCAGGUGUAGCGGUGAAAUGCGUAGAGAUCUGGAGGAAUACCGAUGGCGAAGGCAGCCAUCUGGCCUAAUACUGACGCUGAGGUACGAAAGCAUGGGGAGCAAACAGG
rnacentral:rRNA from 1 species